AAUGCAUCGGAACGUACCGAGUAAUGGGGGAUAACUAUCCGAAAGGAUAGCUAAUACCGCAUACGCUUUGAGAAGGAAAGUGGGGGCUCUUCGGACCUCACGUUAUUCGAGCGGCCGAUGUCUGAUUAGCUAGUUGGUGGGGUAAAGGCCUACCAAGGCGACGAUCAGUAGCGGGUCUGAGAGGAUGAUCCGCCACACUGGGACUGAGACACGGCCCAGACUCCUACGGGAGGCAGCAGUGGGGAAUUUUGGACAAUGGGCGCAAGCCUGAUCCAGCCAUGCCGCGUGUCUGAAGAAGGCCUUCGGGUUGUAAAGGACUUUUGUUAGGGAAGAAAAGGAUAGCGUUAAUUCCCUUAUCUG
rnacentral:rRNA from 1 species